UACAGAGGUGGCAGGCGUUGUUCGGAUUUAUUGGGCGUAAAGGGUCCGUAGGCGGUUUGGAAAGUCAGAUGUGAAAGCCCACAGCUCAACUGUGGAACUGCAUUUGAAACUUCCAGACUAGAGUGUGAGAGGGGUAAAGGGAAUUCCCGGUGUAAGGGUGAAAUCUGCAGAGAUCGGGAGGAACACCAGUCGCGAAGGCGCUUUACUGGCUCACAACUGACGCUCAGGGACGAAAGCUAGGGUAGCAAACGGGAUUAG
rnacentral:rRNA from 1 species